UUGAACGACAAAGGCCAAAACGUCCGCAUUCCGGCGAGCUGUGGGCUACUGCAAGGUGAACUUCGGGCGCCGAAUCAACAUCACAUCAACUGAUCAACGAUUAUUAUCUACUGCUGCAUUAUCAUCCAAGCGUUAAGUUCCAUUGCCGAUUUUAGGUAAAGAUUAGAACAGAAUAUAUUUGUUUUGAUUUUGGGUUCGUCCUCCUUCGCUUGCAUCCAAAUGGGAAAGUUCCCGGUUGAAUUUAUUUCUAAUAUGAUAAUCAAAAGAAUGAAAAUAAUAAACAAAAUAUAUUUGUCGGGCUGCCUCAAGGCCUUUUACCUUUCACUAUUCUCAUAUGCAUAUAAUCCAAUUAAUUUGUGAGCCAAAGUAGAGUCUAAAUUCCGGCAUAUAAAGCGUUAAUCUAUCAAGAAUGAA